UACAGAGGGGGCAAGCGUUAUUCGGAAUUAUUGGGCGUAAAGGGCGCGUAGGCGGCAUGGCAAGUGGAAGGUGAAAUCCCUCGGCUCAACCGAGGACGUGCGGAAGAAACUGCGAGGCUCGAGUCCAGAAGAGGGGGGCGGAAUUCCCAGUGUAGCGGUGAAAUGCGUAGAUAUUGGGAGGAACACCGAUGGCGAAAGCAGCUCUCUGGGACGGUACUGACGCUGAGGCGCGAAAGCGUGGGGAGCGAACAGG
rnacentral:rRNA from 1 species